GAACGGCAGCGCGGGGCAACCUGGCGGCGAGUGGCGAACGGGUGAGUAAUAUAUCGGAACGUACCCAAGAGUGGGGGAUAACGUAGCGAAAGUUACGCUAAUACCGCAUACGAUCUAUGGAUGAAAGUGGGGGAUCGCAAGACCUCAUGCUCCUGGAGCGGCCGAUAUCUGAUUAGCUAGUUGGUAGGGUAAAGGCCUACCAAGGCUACGAUCAGUAGCUGGUCUGAGAGGACGACCAGCCACACUGGAACUGAGACACGGUCCAGACUCCUACGGGAGGCAGCAGUGGGGAAUUUUGGACAAUGGGCGCAAGCCUGAUCCAGCAAUGCCGCGUGAGUGAAGAAGGCCUUCGGGUUGUAAAGCUCUUUUGUCAGGGAAGAAACGGUGGGAGCUAAUAUCUCCUACUAAUGACGGUACCUGAAGAAUAAGCACCGGCUAACUAC
rnacentral:rRNA from 1 species